GAUGAAGAACGUAGUGAAAUGCGAUAAGUAAUGUGAAUUGCAGAAUUCAGUGAAUCAUCGAAUCUUUGAACGCACCUUGCGCCUUUUGGUAUUCCGAAAGGCACACCUGUUUGAGCGUCAUGAAUACCUCAAUCUCCAUCUUUUCUUCGGAUUGAUGGGUGACUUGGAUGUUGAGCCCUGCUGGUAUGCUAUAUCAGCUGGCUUUAAACUUAUUAGCCGGCUCUGUACUGGAUCGGUUUGACUCGACGUGAUAAUAUUAUCGUUGAGGAUGCAUGUCUCAUGCAGCCGGAAAGUAUCAAAGCAGCUUCUAGCUUGCCUUUAGUGCACUUUUACAUUUUAGACCUCAGAUCAGGUGGGACUACCCGCUGAACUUAAGCAUAUCAUAAGCGGAGGA
rnacentral:misc_RNA from 1 species